ACUCCUGCGGGAGGCAGCAGUGGGGAAUAUUGCACAAUGGGCGCAAGCCUGAUGCAGCCAUGCCGCGUGUAUGAAGAAGGCCUUCGGGUUGUAAAGUACUUUCAGCGGGGAGGAAGGCGAUAAGGUUAAUAACCUUGUCGAUUGACGUUACCCGCAGAAGAAGCACCGGCUAACUCCGUGCCAGCAGCCGCGGUAAUACGGAGGGUGCAAGCGUUAAUCGGAAUUACUGGGCGUAAAGCGCACGCAGGCGGUCUGUCAAGUCGGAUGUGAAAUCCCCAGGCUCAACCUGGGAACUGCAUUCGAAACUGGCAGGCUAGAGUCUUGUAGAGGGGGGUAGAAUUCCAGGUGUAGCGGUGAAAUGCGUAGAGAUCUGGAGGAAUACCGGUGGCGAAGGCGGCCCCCUGGACAAAGACUGACGCUCAGGUGCGAAAGCGUGGGGAGCAAACAGGAUUAGAUACCCCAGUAGUCCCAUGAU
rnacentral:rRNA from 1 species